rnacentral:lncRNA from 1 species
GUAGUGGGCCAUUCAGAGUCGUGCGGAGUUUGUUACAGAGAGUAGUGGCAUCAGAGGUCGUUCAGGGCCACGUGGAGCUUGUUGCGGAGAGUGGAGCAAGGUGGCGGUUCUUGUCGUGGCUUGUCAGAGAGUGGUGGAGCCAUGUGGAAUCCAUUGCAGCGAGUGGAGCAAGGUAGUGGCCCUUGUUGUGGCUUGCCAG